rnacentral:tRNA from 1 species
GGGAGGUUAGCCAAGUGGACGAGGCGAUACCGAUAGUUGAAAGCAUCGGAUUCGGGUGAUACCGACAUCGCAGGUUCAAAUCCUGCACCUCCCUCCA